rnacentral:rRNA from 1 species
UGAAUACGAGAUGCUACGGCGUCGAAGCAGUCUAUGUCAUACUUCCAAGAAAAGCUUGCACUGUCAUAGACAAAUAAUGCCUGUACCAUAACCGACACAGGUGGGUAGGUAGAGUAUACUAAGGGGCGCGAGAUAACUCUCUCUAAGGAACUCGGCAAAAUGACUCCGUAACUUCGGGAGAAGGAGUGCCUUAUUUAUAAGGUUGCAAUAACAAGAUCCAAGCAACUGUUUACCAAAAACACAGGUCUCCGCUAAGUCGUAAGACGAUGUAUGGGGGCUGACGCCUGCCCAGUGCCAGAAGGUUAAAGAAGUUGGUUAGCAUCCGCGAAGCUGAUAACUGAAGCCCUGGUGAACGGCGGCCGUAACUAUAACGGUCCUAAGGUAGCGAAAUUCCUUGUCGGGUAAGUUCCGACCCGCACGAAAGGCGUAAUGAUUUGGAUACUGUCUCGGAGAGGGGCUCGGUGAAAUAGACUUGUCUGUGAAGAUGCGGACUACCUGCACCAGGACAGAAAGACCCUAUGAAGCUUUACUGUAACCUGAAAUUGAAAUUGGACUUUACUUGCGCAGUAUAGGUGGGAGGCGUUGAGAAUAUUCUUGCGGGAUUAUUGGAGCCAUCAGUGAGAUACCACUCUUGUAAUGUUAGAUUUCUAACUUUGUAUCAUUAUCUGGUCAAAGAACAGUUUCAGGCGGGCAGUUUGACUGGGGCGGUCGCCUCCUAAACGGUAACGGAGGCGCACAAAGGUUUCCUCUGAACGGGUAGAAAUCGUAUCUAGAGUGUAAAGGCAUAAGGAAGCUUGACUGUGAGACCUACAAGUCGAGCAGGGACGAAAGUCGGUCUUAGUGAUCCGACGGUGCUGAGUGGAAAGGCCGUCACUCAACGGAUAAAAGUUACUCUAGGAUAACAGGCUGAUCUCCCCCAAGAGUUCACAUCGACGGGGAGGUUUGGCACCUCGAUGUCGGCUCAUCGCAUCCUGGGGCGGUAGUACGUCCCAAGGGUUGGGCUGUUCGCCCAUGAAAGCGGUACGCGAGCUGGGUUCAGAACGUCGUGAGACAGUUCGGUCCAUAUCCGGUGUAGGCGUUAGAAUAUUGAGAGGAGCCUUCUUUAGUACGAGAGGACCGAGAAGGACAUACCUCUGGUGUACCGGUUAUCGUGCCAACGGUAAACGCUGGGUAGCUAUGUGUGGAGUGGAUAACCGCUGAAAGCAUCUAAGUGGGAAGCCCACCUCAAGAUAAGUAUUCUC